AUACUCACCUGCAGGGCAGGUGCCGUGAUCGCGAAGGUGGUGUCCCAGGGCAAGGCUUCUCCACUGCACUCCAGAUGUGCAGACUCCUGCGAUUUCCCCAGUUUGGGAAACUCGACUGCACAAUUUGUGGGGUGGGGACUUGUUCAAGUUCUCCCC
rnacentral:snRNA from 1 species